rnacentral:lncRNA from 1 species
GUCCUUUCACCCGGCCUGGAUGGGGUUUGGUUCCUCUUGGGAUGCGAAACCAAACCCCAAACCGGGGCUGGAACCCACCCAACGCCAGGACCCCCCCCCCGGGGCUGGUUUGGGAAGGGCGCACGGGGCUGGAUGGGGCCAGGAGGGAUUUGGGGCAGGGUGGGUGCAUGGGGUGGGCUCCGCAGCGGGGUUUUGGGGUGGUGGUGACCCCAGUGCUCAGCUUCCCACCCCCAGCCCCUCCCUCCAGGGGCUUUGGGACCCCCUGGGGACACAGCAGGGCCACGGGGGAUGCUGUGGACACCGGGAUCGCCCCCAAAGCUGGGCUCUGUAGGGCCAAGGGGACAGGGGGACGAGCCCCCACGCCCCCUCCCCUUUUUCCCCUUUUUGCUCGGUGCCCCCCACCCACACCCAGCCCCGUGGGGGGGGUGUCCCAGGGAUGGUGUCAGCACCCUGAGGGCUGUCCCCGUGCUUUGGGGCUCCCCCUGUCCCCCCCCGACCUAUUUAUGGGGCCAUCUGCUCCCGGCACAAAGCGGAUUUGGAGCCUGGUGGGAUCAGGGCCUGGGGGCUGCGGGGGGCAACACCACAGCGGCGCGGGGUGUCCGGCUGUCCCUCUGUCCGUCCCUCUGUCUGUCCGGCCCCCGGCCCCCUGCAGCCCCUGCCCCCCCCCAGCCCGUGUCCGUCCUCCCCCCGCAGCCCUUCCCCUUUCGCCCCUUUCCCCACAUUUCCAUUUUUUUCCUUUUAAGAUUUUCCGCCUCCUUUCAUUUCCUUUUUAUUCCCUUUUCAAUUCACUUUCCUUUUUAUUUCCCCCAUUUUUUAAAAAAAAUUUCUUCCCCUUUUGCCCUUUUUUAUUCCUUUCCCUUUUUUUCCUUUCCCUUAUUGCCUUUUUAUUUCCCCUUUCCUUAUUUUUUCCUUUUUUAUUUCCUUUCCCUUAUUCCCUCUUUAACCCCUUUCCCUUUUUCCCCUUUUUUCCCUUUUUUCCCUUUUUCCCCUUUUUUCCCCUUUUUUUCCCUUUUUUCCCUUUUUUCCCUUUUUUUCCCUUUUUUUCCCCUUUUUUUCCCUUUUUUUUCCCUUUUUUCCCCUUUUCCCCCUUUUUUCCUUUUUCCAUUUUUUCCCUUUUUUCCAUUUUUUUCCUUUUUCCAUUUUCUUUCAAAUUUUUCCAUUUUCUUCCCCCCCGUUUCUUGCUUUUUCCCCCUUUUCUCCCCUUUUUUCCUUUUUCUCCCCUUUUUUACCCCCCCUCUCCCCCCUUUCCCCCCCAAUUCCCUUUCAUUUCCCC